rnacentral:rRNA from 1 species
GGAGGGUGCAAGCGUUAUCCGGAUUUACUGGGUUUAAAGGGUGCGUAGGUGGGUCUGUAAGUCAGUGGUGAAAUCUCCGGGCUUAACCCGGAAACUGCCAUUGAUACUAUAGGUCUUGAAUACUCUGGAGGUAAGCGGAAUAUGUCAUGUAGCGGUGAAAUGCUUAGAUAUGACAUAGAACACCAAUUGCGAAGGCAGCUUACUACGGGGUCAUUGACACUGGGGCACGAAAGCGUGGGGAUCAAACAGGAUUAGAUACCCUGGUAGUCCACGCCCUAAACGAUGGAUACUCGACAUCAGCGAUACACUGUUGGUGUCUGAGCGAAAGCAUUAAGUAUCCCACCUGGGAAGUACGAUCGCAAG